UACGUAGGGUGCAAGCGUUAAUCGGAAUUACUGGGCGUAAAGCGUGCGCAGGCGGUUAUGCAAGACAGAGGGGAAAUCCCCGGGCUCAACCUGGGAACUGCCUUUGUGACUGCAUAGCUAGAGUGCGGCAGAGGGGGAUGGAAUUCCGCGUGUAGCAGUGAAAUGCGUAGAUAUGCGGAGGAACACCGAUGGCGAAGGCAAUCCCCUGGGCCUGCACUGACGCUCAUGCACGAAAGCGUGGGGAGCAAACAGG
rnacentral:rRNA from 1 species